GGAGAAAAGCAGGGGAUCGCAAGACCUUGCGCUCUUGGAGCGGCCGAUGUCUGAUUAGCUAGUUGGUGAGGUAAAGGCUUACCAAGGCGACGAUCAGUAGCUGGUCUGAGAGGACGACCAGCCACACUGGGACUGAGACACGGCCCAGACUCCUACGGGAGGCAGCAGUGGGGAAUUUUGGACAAUGGGGGAAACCCUGAUCCAGCCAUGCCGCGUGAGUGAAGAAGGCCUUCGGGUUGUAAAGCUCUUUCAGCCGGAACGAAACGGUCACGGCUAAUACCUGUGAUCACUGACGGUACCGGAAGAAGAAGCACCGGCUAACUACGUGCCAGCAGCCGCGGUAAUACGUAGGGUGCGAGCGUUAAUCGGAAUUACUGGGCGUAAAGCGUGCGCAGGCGGUUUUGUAAGUCAGAUGUGAAAUCCCCGGGCUUAACCUGGGAACUGCGUUUGAAACUACAAAGCUAG
rnacentral:rRNA from 1 species